AGGUUUUCCGUUGAUCUUCAUGCCUCCAAGCUCAUCCAGGUUUUAAUGGUAUUUCGGGACUACUUGGAUUAGGACCUUGUUGGUGCUAGUUUUGUCAGGUUUCCCGAGUUAAAGGUGAUUGGAUCCUAGGAUAAGGUACUCUUCCUUAUCCAUUGG